rnacentral:rRNA from 1 species
CGCCCUUGAUCCUGGCUCAGAUUGAACGCUGGCGGCAUGCCUAACACAUGCAAGUCGAACGGAAACGAUGGAGAGCUUGCUCUUCAGGCGUCGAGUGGCGGACGGGUGAGUAAUACAUAGGAAUCUGCCCAUGUAGUGGGGGACAACCUGGUGAAAACCAGGCUAAUACCGCAUGAGCCCUUCGGGGGAAAGCAGGGGAUCUUCGGACCUUGCGCUAUUGGAUGAGCCUAUGUCGGAUUAGCUAGUUGGUGGGGUAAUGGCCCACCAAGGCGACGAUCCGUAGCUGGUCUGAGAGGACGAUCAGCCACACUGGGACUGAGACACGGCCCAGACUCCUACGGGAGGCAGCAGUGGGGAAUAUUGGACAAUGGGCGCAAGCCUGAUCCAGCAAUGCCGCGUGUGUGAAGAAGG